rnacentral:tRNA from 1 species
GCGGAUGUGGCGGAAUUGGCAGACGCGCCAGAUUUAGGAUCUGGUGGUGCUCCCGUGCAGGUUCAAGUCCUGUCAUCCGCACCA